AAUAGAUACCCUGGUAGUCCACGCUGUAAACGUUGGGCGCUAGGUGUGGGGGGGCCUCUCCGGUUCCCUGUGCCGCAGCUAACGCAUUAAGCGCCCCGCCUGGGGGAGUACGGCCACAAGGCUAAAACUCAAAGGAAUUGACGGGGGGCCCGCACAAGCGGCGGAGCAUGCGGAUUAAUUCGAUGCAACGCGAAGAACCUUACCUGGGUUUGACAUGGCCGCAAAACUGUCAGAGAUGGCAGGUCCUUCGGGGCGGUCACAGGUGGUGCAUGGCUGUCGUCAGCUCGUGUCGUGAGAUGUUGGGUUAAGUCCCGCAACGAGCGCAACCCUCGUUCGAUGUUGCCAGCGCGUUAUGGCGGGGACUCAUCGAGGACUGCCGGGUCGAACUCGGAGGAAGGUGGGGAUGACGUCAAGUCAUCAUGCCCUUAUGUCCAGGGCUUCACGCAUGCUACAAUGGCCGGUACAAUGGGCUGCGAUACCGUGAGGUGGAGCGAAUCCCGAAAAAGCCGGUCUCAGUUCGGAUCGGGGUCUGCC
rnacentral:rRNA from 1 species